UACGUAGGGGGCAAGCGUUGUCCGGAAUUAUUGGGCGUAAAGAGCGCGUAGGCGGUCCGAUAAGUCGGAUGUGAAAGCCCUGGGCUCAACCCAGGAAGUGCAUUCGAAACUGCAGAGCUGGAGUCCUGGAGAGGAAGGCGGAAUUCUCGGUGUAGAGGUGAAAUUCGUAGAUAUGGGGAGGAACAACCGGUGGCGAAGGCGGCCACCUGGACGGUCACUGACGCUGAGACGCGAAAGCGUGGGUAGCAAACAGGAUUGAGAACCCAGUGGUAG
rnacentral:rRNA from 1 species